rnacentral:rRNA from 1 species
AUUGAACGCUGGCGGCAUGCCUUACACAUGCAAGUCGAACGGUAACAGGUCUUCGGAUGCUGACGAGUGGCGAACGGGUGAGUAAUACAUCGGAACGUGCCUAGUAGUGGGGGAUAACUACUCGAAAGAGUGGCUAAUACCGCAUGAGCUCUACGGAUGAAAGCAGGGGAUCGCAAGACCUUGUGCUACUAGAGCGGCCGAUGGCAGAUUAGGUAGUUGGUGGGAUAAAAGCUUACCAAGCCGACGAUCUGUAGCUGGUCUGAGAGGACGAUCAGCCACACUGGGACUGAGACACGGCCCAGACUCCUACGGGAGGCAGCAGUGGGGAAUUUUGGACAAUGGGCGCAAGCCUGAUCCAGCAAUGCCGCGUGCAGGAUGAAGGCCUUCGGGUUGUAAACUGCUUUUGUACGGAACGAAAAGCCCUGGGUUAAUACCCUAGGGUCAUGACGGUACCGUAAGAAUAAGCACCGGCUAACUACGUGCCAGCCGCCGCCGUAA